UGGUUCUGGCAUCGAUGAAGAACGCAGCGAAAUGCGAUAAGUAAUGCGAAUUGCAGAAUUCCGUGAGUCAUCGAAUCUUUGAACGCACAUUGCGCCCGCCAGCAUUCUGGCGGGCAUGCCUGUUCGAGCGUCAUUUCAACCCUCAGGCCCUGCCUGGUGUUGGAGGACUGCGCAUGCAGCCUCCCAAAGACAGCGGCGGCGGCGCCCCAAAACCGAACGCAGUAGUUACCUCUCGUUCUGGGUCUGGGUCGUUGUCCUGCCGGAAAACCCCCCUCUUUUACAUGGUUGACCUCGAAUCAGGUAGGAAUACCCGCUGA
rnacentral:misc_RNA from 1 species